GGUUAAGCGACUAAGCGUACACGGUGGAUGCCCUGGCAGUCAGAGGCGAUGAAGGACGUGCUAAUCUGCGAUAAGCGUCGGUAAGGUGAUAUGAACCGUUGUAACCGGCGAUUUCCGAAUGGGGAAACCCAGUGUGAUUCGUCACACUAUCAUUAACUGAAUCCAUAGGUUAAUGAGGCGAA
rnacentral:rRNA from 1 species